GCCUCUGUAGCUCAGUUGGUUAGAGCGCUGCACCAGAAUCGCAGUAGGUCGUAGGUUCAAUUCCUACCAGAGGAC